AGCAUCGCGCGGUGUUGCCAGGGGAACCCUGAUGACGCACGGGCGUCACUGCGGGAGCAGCAGCGCACGGACGCAGUCGUCCCGAGAGGCGAGCCGGGCUUGCGUCCCCGCGUCGGACCGCCCGCUGGGAGGGCGACGCUUCCACAGCGCCUCCUCGUUGGCUGGCCACACAGGAGCGGACGCGUAGCAGUCACGGAGACAAUAUAACCCUCGCCUUCCAAGACGACAAGGUGCCCGUUCCAGGACGAUGAAGACGACCCGCUCCAAGAUGACGACAGCAACGACAGCUCAUUGGUUCCCCCACAACAACAGCAGCAGCAGCCCAGAGCCCCGUCCCACACCGGCUUUUAUCCCCCUCACCACCCGGCCACGCCGCUUUUCCCGAACCCUCUCUCACCUGGCCCUGUUUGUCUCUGUCCCAAAUUACUCUUUACGACCGUUUAGGUCCUCACGCGACCCUAUCAGAGGUGGCAAACGGGUUUUGAUUCCUUACCCGUACCCGGCCGCACCAGGGUCGCAAAUGGAACGGGUACCUGUACCCGGCCGGGUACGGAUACCCGUUCCCUACCCAUACCCUACCCGAAAUGAGUGACAAACGGUUACUCACCAGUGACUCACGGCCUACCCGUACCCGUACCCGGCCGCACCAGGGUAGCAAACGGCUACCCGUACCCGUACCUGGCCGGGUACGGGUAGCCGGGUGUCGGGUAGGGUACGGGUAUCGGGUACCCGGUUGCGACCUCUGGACAAUGUCAGUGCCCAUCGCGUCAAUUUAGGUCCCACAUUACCCGAACGUGACCCUGUCUGUUCCCGUCACGUGACUUAGUAACCACGGCAACGGGGAGCAGCACUGUCCCUACAUCACUCCGUACUGUCCUUACAAAUGUCAAAAUGAUGGGCCACUUUAUUGAUUCAUCGUUUGUAGCGAGGUCGCUUCUGAAAGUAAGUUAAUAGCUCAGCGGGCUUUGCCUGGUAGGAUGGGGAUGGUUUAGUUGUGUUUGGGUGAUGUGUUUACCUUUCUUGUACUUAGCGCUACUAUCGUGUUUUUGUACUGUUUGUGAAAAAGAGCUUUACGGCUCAUCGGAUUCCUCCUGCGUCAAUAAA